CCGACAGCUCUGCUGGAGCAGAGACGCCAUGCUCAGCUCUCCCAGGCAGCUGCAACCCACGAUGGACUUAGGCUAGAAUCUUCCCUUACCCAGCAGAAUGCCAUAGGAAGAGAGGUGAAGUAAGAAACACCCACAGUAGAGAAGUACAGAAAGGAAUAGCAAUGGAACCUGUAUUCAUUUACAUAAAGAGAAGUUCACCUGUGCAGAUUGAACGACGCUCAAACCCACAUCCCCCAGGUACAGCAAAUGUGACCACAUUAUUACAGACUCGAAGGAAGUCUGGAUGGAUCAAAAAUUCCGUGGGGAAAAUGAGCGUGAUCUGACACGAAAUAAAGCUCCGGGAUCUAAGCAUUUCCCAGGCUACUUCCUCAAGCACAUUAAACGAUUGUCAAGUCACUGACGGGCUACUUUGAACUGGGUCAAGCAGCCCUCAGUUUGGAGAAGUGAAAAAAGGAACUAGCAUUGGACGAGAGAAAAAACUGGGAACCCUAAGGAAUACACAAAGGCAAAUUUAAACCUUCGAAAUAAAUACUUGGCCACCUUCAACAGUUUUAUUUAGAGCCCAGACUGGGAAAACGGUUGGGUCAAUAAAGGGCUUGCUGCUCAAAUAUGAAGACAACUUCUAAGAGUGGAGAAAUUCAACU